UGGUCAAGGACAAAUAGUGAAUCAUGGAAAGAAAUCAUUGACCUUAUUUGUACAUCAAACGAAGAGGGUGAUGAGACAUAUUAUCGAGAACAUCUGCCAGACCUUGGAAAUGACACUCGUGGAUAUAUUAAAGUAAAAGAAGGAACUUCUGAGGCUUUGAUUAGUCUGUGGUUUAACAAAGAACAGAGUUGUCAUAGAAAUCAAGAAAGGCCAAGACUUUAUGUAAUUUUUGCCGA